AACUACUGGCUGACCUCGAGAACUGAUACCGAGCCACUUCCAUGGCAAGACACAAGUCCUUUUUUUUUUUUUUUUUUNGCCAAAUAGCCACACACUCACUUUAGCUGAGGCGCACUGGAGACACAAUGAGAAAUGUCUGAACUAUGCAAGGAUCUCUGUGAUGUCAACGCAUGAGGAAUAUUUCUUGCUGGUUCAGUUUUACUAGACCAGUCACUCCUUUCUCAUACUGGCAAAGCAGAUGCCCACAGAGUGAGAUGCUAAGACGUUAUUAUGACAAUGAAAAGAAGAAGAGAAAUAGCCACAUUUCAAGCAUGAAUUCUACCACAAGCAAAAUGAUGAAGAAAAAAGAUCUCUUUUACAUAACGAUCCGUGCUCAGUUCGUUUCACAGCCAAGAAGAGGAAUUGCUAGACAACAAAACAUAUGCAACGCCCAAAAUAUCUACAUCCUUUAUUUAAAAUUUUUAAAAUCCCUUGGAAAAUAUCUGACAUAUCUAUUUUUCUUAAUAGAUUGUAAGAGGCAGUGUGCUUACACUAGUCUCCUCCUUGGCUGCAGAAGUGGUGAUAUUGUAGUUGUUGUCGUCAUAUAA
rnacentral:lncRNA from 1 species